AAUUACAAAUAAAGUCGUGCGGGCAAGACUUUUACGCGGAAAGGGGAAUUUCCGCCCAAACGUUGGGGUUGUUACGCUGUUGGAAGUAAGUCUAGAUUUUGCCGUUGUGUUAAUGCCUUUGCAGAGUCUCAUCAGACGCACACACAACUGCCCACCAUUUCCCGGGUUUGGAAAAGAGACCUGCCUCCCCCCCCCCCCCACCCCCUUAAAUGAAAGUGAUGACUCAAUGCUCGAGGGCAGCGCGGGCCCUAACACACAGGCCCUCGCGGCGCGGCGCUCGGGGGAGCCCGAGUUUGGAAAGAAUCGCGCCGGGCCCGUAGGACUUGGCAGAAAAUGUGCCAGGGGGGCAGCCUGCAAGGGGGUAGGGGCAGAGCAAGGAGCCCUGCCUAGAGAUCCACGAGCGCCAGUCGGGGCCUUGGCGGCGGUGGUUCGUGCAUCCUGCACAGGCCGGCGGGCCCCUAGUGUGCAGCAGGAGGCAGGCCGCCCUUCGCUCUCGUGGGGCCGGGGCUCUGCUACUGCCCUUGAGGACUGCAAACAAAUUGGUUAGACUGGCUAACAACGUAAUGCAGAUCCCAGUUCCCUGAGCUGAGAUGACUCUUCACAACCAGCAAGAGUAGAUGUAGAUCUGCUGACUCUUGAGCCUUCUCAGGGCAUUCUAGAAUGCUGCUUUCUUGCGGUUACUGCAGCUGCUCAAAGACCAUGUCACAUCUCUGUGACCCCGACAGUAAAGACAGGGGGACAUCACCGUCUUUCUUCUCACCCGGAAAGACACCUCCCAGUCCAUCUCCUCCAAUUCGGUAAGAUCCUAUCAGUCCUUCAAGUUCCGUUUCAAAUACUCAUCUCCAAAACAUUGGGUAAAGAUGAUGGCAGCAGUGAGACCAUUAAAGAGAACUGAAAGAGCCAAAUGAAGCAGGGGCUGGAAGGAGUUAAAAAAAAAGCAUUUAAAACAUUUGUUUUAGUUUUAAUUUCUAGAUAUGAGAUCCCCAAGUAUAUUUGAUCAUGGGAGUGAUAGUUGUCUUCCAUGGAGAGACCAAGGUUUGUGGAGAAAAAUGAUAGAAUUGAACUGUUAGAAAAGACAUUUGAAGUCAGCUAAUUUCUUCCCCCACCCAGUAUGAUGUCCCUAACAGGGCUUCAAUUCACUUUCUCCCUGAACCCAAAGAGUGACAGGGAACUGCCUCCUGAGCUCUUUCUCAAGAUCAUUCACUCCCCUACUGUCUCUUGCAUUUGUCAAGCAACGCUGCUAUAGUGAAGGAUGCUAUAUUAGUUUGCUAGGGCUGCCGUAGCAAAACACUCCAGACUUGGUGGUCUAAACAAGAGGAAAUUUAUCUUCUCACAGUUCUGCAAGUUGGAAGUCCAAGAUCAAGGUGGCAUCAGGUUUGGUUUCUCAAGGCUUCUCUCUUUGGCUUAUAGAUGGCUGUCCCUUUGCUGCUUUUUCACAGGGUUGUCCCUGUGCAUGAGCACCCAUGAUUUCUCUUCCUCAUCUUAGAACUAGUCCUAUUGGGUUAGUGCCCCACCCUGACAGCCUCAUUUUAUUCAAUCACCUCUUU
rnacentral:lncRNA from 12 species